UGUAACUCCUAUUGUAACUUACUCUUAAUUUUAUUAUAAAUUCCUUACUUUUGUUAACAUUGGUUAGCAUUGGAUUGGUGAUUGAAUUCCUUGCAUGUGCAAGAUCAUAGUGUGCAGAAUUUGCCACUAUACUUUCCAAUUGUUGGGUUUCUUUUGCUACUUUGAUUUAAUUGUUUGUGCUCCAUUGGUUUGCUUUGAUAAAGGGGUACUCAAAUAUUGAUGCUGAAUCUAUGUCCUACCCUACUAUGUUGCGCUUGGUGCAAAUUUCUGCUCUGUUUUGUGAACAAUAUUUGUGUCCUAGCUGCAUUUUUGUGUUCAUGCUGUGGUAAAUUUGGAUCAAAGUUGGUUGACUAUUUUUUGUAAUACACAUUUUUUUUUUCAUAUAUUCUCUUUCAGUUUAAUCUGAUGCAAUUUCUUCCUCCGCUUCCAGUAUCUUUUGCUUGAGAAACGAAUCAAUACAAGGUGCAUUAAAGGUAUGUUUUUUGGCUUGAUCUAUAUGUACUAAGUUGGUGGGACUUGAUUUAUUUGAUAUAUUUAUUUGAAUAUUUAAUUUGCUGCAUGUAAAUAUUGUGUUAGAAUUCGUACAUAGAUUGGGGAAAGAUUGGGGAUGGUGAAGAUGUGAAAGAAUG
rnacentral:misc_RNA from 1 species